UAAUACAGAGGCCUCAAGCGUUAGGCGGAAUCACUGGGCUUAAAGCGUGUGUAGGCGGACUUCUAAGUACCUUGUGAAAUCCCACGGCUUAACUGUGGAACUGCUUGGUAUACUGGUUGUCUUGAGCCACUUAGGGGCUACCGGAACAAAUGGUGGAGCGGUGAAAUGCGUAGAUAUCAUUUGGAACGCCAAUGGUGAAAACAGGUAGCUGGGAGUGUGCUGACGCUGAGACACGAAAGCCAGGGGAGCGAACGGGAUUAGAUACCCCGGUAGUCCUGGCCCUAAACGAUGUCCACUAGAUCGUAGUUGCUCUGACGUAAUUAUGGUCGAAGCAAAAGUGCUAAGUGGACCGCCUGGGAAGUACGGUCGCAAGGCUA
rnacentral:rRNA from 1 species